UUUUGUUUCUUAUUUGAUUAGCUGUCAAACAUCUUUAAUAGACGUUUAGUGUUUGCGUAUGGUAAUGGUGGUUUGCAAUAAUCGCAACGCACACAAACACACACACAUUUGUUCCAAUAGAGGGGUGGCGAUUUUGAGAGGAGGCGGGCGAGAGACACGGGCGCGUUAAUACGCGGCGCAUAUUUGCGAAGCUCUUUAACGGAGGCCCAAUGUCAACAAAAUAACAAGCGCGCCGCCCCCCGGGCGCCGACGACAGCAAAAAGCAAUUUAAUAAUUUGCCGACGCCACCCUAAACAACGCCCAAAACACCCCGAGCACUUAUUCAAAUGAAUUUAGAACGUUUUUUAUUAGGCCGGCGUCAACCAACCACGAAAAGUAUACCACCAACAAUACAACCGACACAAAAUUAUAAAUAAUAUUCAAAUAGCCUAAAAAUACACAGAAAAAAAAGCAAUUUUAACAUUCGAUAAGUAAUAAAAAUGUAGCGGCGACGCAUCAAGUGAGCGGCGGCGGAGGGCGGCGAAGGGUGGCCGCGAGGCGUCCGAGCGAACAAGCGCAUCAUCAUCAUCAUCAACGAGCGCAAACGUGCCCCCAGGCGAAUUAUAUCAAUGCAUACGUGAUCAUCGCGCACACAUGUGUGACGCAGCAGCGCACAAACAGCCAUUAGCCUACACGCGGCGCGGAUAACAAAAAAUACAAGUGCGUCGAAAAACCAACACGAAACACACAAUUCCGGGUUCAAUCAAUAAAAAUUUCAACUUGCA